UGCCAGGAGGCAGAGCUCUGAAAACCUCGACAACGACGCCUCUCUCUUCAGUGCCCGCACUGCGUCCCAGGCUGACGCCAAGGAGGCCCAAGACAGCCCUGGGUGGCCAUUAGGACGGGUCUGGAGGGGACAUCAGUGUGGACAUCUAGUUGCUGGGCCUGGGGUCACAGCCCCCUUUCUUGUCUGAACUGGCCACUGCCCGGAGGAGCUGCGCUGUGCGCCUUAGUGUGCCACCACCUAACCGCCAUCGCGGCUGAGCCCACCUCCUUUCCCGGACAUUAGAGGACGAGGGGCUGGAAUGCAGUGGCACAAUCAUAGCUCACUGCAGCCUUGAACUCCUGGGCUCAAGUGAGCCUCCAGCCUCAACUUUCUAAGUAGCUGGGACUACAGGCUGAUGCGACCAUGCCCGACUUGGCACAGGAUUUAAAUAUGGCCCUGGACAAGUCACUGGCCUUCUCUGGCCUUCCCAGAUACAUCCCUGCAGACACCUUUAUUGAAGAGGGACCCUGAAGGCUGAACGGCCAACACAGAAGAGGAGGCACUUGGGAGUAAGGGUGAUUUAUGGCCCUGGGAGGGCCCAGUGCAGGUAGGAUGGGAGCUAAGGUAAGGCUGGGCCAUGCCUAGCUGCAAGCAAAUUUCCUUAAAAAACAAACAACAAAAAACAUUACUUUUUCUAAACCUAAAGUUUGUGGUGGCAUUCAAGUCCCAUCAUAGCCCAUCUAUCCAGACUCAUCUGCCUGGGAUCCCCGUCUUGGGACUAGUGGUCACUGGCCUGCUUCCUGGUCAAUUAGCUUCCGGGACUAGGGGGAGGUGUGAGGAGCCUAGAGUGCAAAAUUUAAGAAGCACUCAGUCUCAGGGGCGUGCAGGUGCAGGGUAGCGACGGCAGGACUCUAAGAGUGAGUCUCUUUCCUCCCCGUUUCCCCGUCCUACUUUCACUCUAAGCAUUUAGUUCCCAGGGGACAGAGACGACUUCUUCAUUAGAAGACCCCGGGGGGUCCCCAGCCCGGAAGGGCUCACAGUUGGAGCUCAAACAUUUGCCACUGUUCAGGCUCAUCUUUCUUUCCCCAGUGAAAAAUGGUCUAGGUUGGGAAGGGCAGGUUCCUGUCUACUGCGUGAUCCAACCGAUUCUGGUUCGCCCAAUGUCUGGACUUGUCCUUUGCCAAGAAUAAGCAGAUGAGAUGGGCGGAUGAACCCCAAUGUCCCUGCAAGAUUCAGGAAGUCCCAGCCAGAAAGUAAAGGACGUUUAGUUCCAUGUAUUGUUUUCUUUUUUACAUGCGGGGC
rnacentral:lncRNA from 1 species